UAUUUUACUAAAGGACUUGUGGAUUGCGGGGUCUCACGACAUCACCUCAUAGAUGUAGUCGAUGGUUUGCUCCAGAUUCAGGUUUGCUUCCAGGAAGAAACGCUAACAGAAAUUCAGAAGCACGGGAGCUGCAAUCAAUUAGGACGUGGAUCCAUGAAAUGCUCGUCUCAGGACCUUCUAGAAGAAUGAGCUGGGACCCACUUUCCGAGUCCUGCUGGAACCAGAAACCGAGUCUAUGCAAGUCAGAAUCAACCUCCAUCCACCUCCAUCCUUUAUGAGACCUAAGACGUGAUGCAGCUCCCAUGGGAAAUAUCAUUUGUGUCUCUACCAAGGAUGCAGAGAAAGACAAGAUCCAGGCUUGUUUCCGGUAAGAAACCCUGACAGAAAUUCAGAAGAAUGGGAGCUGCAUUCCAUUAGGACGUGAAUACACGAAAUGUUCUUCUCAGGACCUUCUAGAAGAAUGAGCUGGGACCCACUUUCCAAGUCCUGCUGGAACCAGAGACUGAGGUAAGGGCACAAACUGUCC